GGUCAAGUUAUUAAGGGUGCAGGGCGGAUGCCUUGGCACUAGGAGCCGAUGAAGGACGUGAUAAGCUGCGAUAAGCUUCGGGGAGUUGCACGUAAACUUUGAUCCGAAGAUUUCCGAAUGAGGAAACUCACUUAGAGUAAUGUCUAAGUAUCAUUAAGUGAAUACAUAGCUUAAUGAGGGGAACUCAGGGAACUGAAACAUCUAAGUACCUGAAGGAAGAGAAAGAAAUUCGAUUCCGUAAGUAGCGGCGAGCGAACGCGGAUUAGCCCAAACCAAUAAAGUUUUCUUUAUUGGGGUUGCGGACAUAUCAUAACGAAGAGGUAUCGUAAUUGAAGAGGUUUGGAAAGACCCACCACAGAAGGUAAUAGUCCUGUAUGUUAAACGAGAAGACUUCAGAUAUGAUCCAGAGUACCACGGGACACGUGAAACCCUGUGGGAAGCAGGAGGGACCACCCUCCAAGGCUAAAUACUACCUAGUGACCGAUAGCGUAUAGUACCGUGAGGGAAAGGUGAAAAGAACCCCGGGAGGGGAGUGAAAUAGAACCUGAAACCCUGCACUUACAAGCUGUGGAAGCACAUUUCUUGUGUGACCGCGUACUUUUUGUAGAACGGGCCAACGAGUUACGUUAAGUAGCAAGGUUAAGCACUUAAGGUGCGGAGCCGUAGCGAAAGCGAGUUUUAACUGAGCGUUCAGUUACUUGACGUAGACCCGAAACCGGGCGACCUACCCAUGAGCAGGAUGAAGCGAAAGUAAAAUUUCGUGGAGGUCCGAACCCACGAGCGUUGAAAAGCUCGGGGAUGACUUGUGGGUAGCGGUGAAAUUCCAAUCGAGCCCGGAGAUAGCUGGUUCUCCCCGAAAUAGCUUUAGGGCUAGCCUCAAGGUGAGAGAUACGGAGGUAGAGCACUGAAUGUCCUAGGGGGUAUUGCACCUACCGAAGACUAUCAAACUCCGAAUGCCGUCAUCUUAUACUUGGGAGUCAGACUGUGGGUGAUAAGAUUCAUAGUCGAAAGGGCAACAGCCCAGAUCGUCAGCUAAGGUCCCUAAAUGUAAGUUAAGUGGUAAAGGAUGUGGGAUUGCACAGACAACCAGGAUGUUGGCUUAGAAGCAGCCACUCAUUCAAAGAGUGCGUAAUAGCUCACUGGUCGAGUGAUCCUGCGCCGAAGAUUUCCGGGGCUAAAACUUACUACCGAAGCUACGGCAUCAGUAAUGAUGGGUAGGGGAGCUUCCCAUACGGGUUGAAGCAUGACCGUAAGGACAUGUGGACAGUAUGGGAGUGAGAAUGUUGGCAUGAGUAGCGAGAUGUGGGUGAGAAUCCCACAGGCCGUAAACCCAAGGUUUCCAGGGGAAGGUUCGUCCGCCCUGGGUUAGUCGGGACCUAAGCUGAGGCCGAAAGGCGUAGGUGAUGGACAACAGGUUGAUAUUCCUGUACUACCGAUAACCGUUUGAGAGAAGGGAUGACACAGUAGGAUAAGCUAAGCACACUGUUGGUUAUGUGUGCCCAAGCAUUGAGGC
rnacentral:rRNA from 1 species